GACGAACCGUGCGAACGUUAUUCGGAAUCACUGGGCUUAAAGCGCGUGUAGGCGGAUGAGCACGUCUUUCGCUGAAAUCCCCCCGGCUCAACCGGGGAACGGGCGGGGAUACGGCUUGUCUGGAGGGGCGUAGGGGGACCUGGAACUUCCGGUGGAGCGGUGAAAUGCGUAGAUAUCUGGAGGAACACCGGUGGCGAAGGCGGCAUCCUGGACCGAUACUGACGCUGAGGAGCGAAAGCCAGGGGAGCAAACGGG
rnacentral:rRNA from 1 species